AGCGAACGCUGGCGGCAUGCUUAACACAUGCAAGUCGCACGGGCAGUAGCGAAUACUGUCAGUGGCGGACGGGUGAGUAACGCGUAGGAAUCUAUCCUUGAAUGGGGGACAACCGUGGGAAACUACGGCUAAUACCGCAUGAUGCCUGAGGGCCAAAGACGAAAGUCGUUUGAGGAGGAGCCUGCGUCUGAUUAGGUAGUUGGUGGGGUAAAGGCCUACCAAGCCCUACGAUCAGUAGCUGGUCUGAGAGGAUGAUCAGCCACAUUGGGACUGAGACACGGCCCAAACUCCUACGGGAGGCAGCAGUGGGGAAUAUUGGACAAUGGGCGCAAGCCUGAUCCAGCAAUGCCGCGUGGGUGAAGAAGGUCUUCGGAUUGUAAAGCCCUUUUGGCGGGGACGAUGAUGACGGUACCCGCAGAAUAAGCUCCGGCUAACUUCGUG
rnacentral:rRNA from 1 species